rnacentral:rRNA from 1 species
GGGGAAUUUUGGACAAUGGGCGAAAGCCUGAUCCAGCAAUGCCGCGUGUGUGAAGAAGGCCUUCGGGUUGUAAAGCACUUUUGUCCGGAAAGAAAUCCUCUGGGUUAAUACCUCGGGGGGAUGACGGUACCGGAAGAAUAAGCACCGGCUAACUACGUGCCAGCAGCCGCGGUAAUACGUAGGGUGCAGGCGUUAAUCGGAAUUACUGGGCGUAAAGCGUGCGCAGGCGGUUUUGUAAGACGGAUGUGAAAUCCCCGGGCUUAACCUGGGAACUGCAUUCGUGACUGCAAGGCUAGAGUAUGGCAGAGGGGGUAGAAUUCCACGUGUAGCAGUGAAAUGCGUAGAGAUGUGGAGGAAUACCGAUGGCGAAGGCAGCCCCCUGGGCCAAUACUGACGCUCAUGCACGAAAGCGUGGGGAGCAAACA